GGUUUGAUCCCUAAGUACUACUGCGUUUGCUGUGCACUUGCAGCCUGUUUAGGGUAAAACUUGUGUUGUCCACUACACUCACAUCAAGUUUUUGGCGCCGUUGCCAGGGAUUUGUCGCUGUUGACUUGAUUUCUUAAUCUAAUUUAAACCUCAAGAUUUUCGAGUUCUGCUGGAGAUUUUCUAACUCCUCUUUUUAUCUUUGCUUUCU
rnacentral:lncRNA from 1 species